GUUGUGGCUCAGAGGUAGAGCGCUCGCCUACUAUGAGUGAGGCACCGGGUUCAAUCCCCAGCAUCACA
rnacentral:tRNA from 1 species